rnacentral:tRNA from 2 species
GGAGAGAUGCCUGAGUGGCCGAAAGGAACGGUUUGCUAAACCGUCGUAGGGUGAAAACUUUACCGAGGGUUCGAAUCCCUCUCUCUCCG